GUUGAAGAACGCAGCGAAAUGCGAUAAGUAAUGUGAAUUGCAGAAUUCAGUGAAUCAUCGAAUCUUUGAACGCACAUUGCGCCCGCUAGUAUUCUGGCGGGCAUGCCUGUCCGAGCGUCAUUUCAACCCUCAAGCCCCCGGGCUUGGUGUUGGGGAUCGGCGAGCCUCCGCGCCCGCCGUCCCCUAAAUCUAGUGGCGGUCUCGCUGUAGCUUCCUCUGCGUAGUAGCACACCUCGCACUGGGAAACAGCGCGGCCACGCCGUUAAACCCCCAACUUCUGAACGUUUGACCUCGGAUCACGUAGGAAUACCCGCUGAACUUAAGCAUAUCAAUAAGCGGAGGA
rnacentral:misc_RNA from 1 species